CUUUUAUGUUCACUUGAAAGGGAAAAUGGGGACUCAGCGAUUAGGAGGUCACUGUGAGGAAUAUGGAAGGCGAGGCAGUUCCUGCAUCUGUGCCCUGCCUAGCACUGCUUCAAAGUGUUAUAUGACCAGAAACUUUAGUUGAACAACAAGCCAAGUAUAGUUGAGACAUGGUUGGACGUUCUCGAUUUUGACUGACACACACUCAAAGGAGCUGGUUUGUCGAGUUGUGGCACAUCUUUCCACGGAGGGAAUGUGGGACAGAGGCCAAGAGCACUUUCUCAUGUUUUCAUAAUGUUUGCCGGCUUGAGGAGCUAAUGCAGAAGCUGGUUGAUUUAUGUAAUGGAUACCACAGCAACAGAGAAACAAAUCUUUCAUGGCAAUCUCUGCACUGAGGCUAACCUAGAAAACAAAGUGUGGAAAAUUACAAUCACAUGAAUUAUUCCUGCAUCAAACAAUGGAUGGACAUUUCUAUAUAAAGGGAUCUAUGUGGUCCUGUAACCUGAAUAAACUCAUUAAGUACUAAAA